UCCCUGCUGGCUCAGAGAGUAAAGCGUGUGUCUACAAUGCAGGAGACCCGGGUUCGAUCCCUGGGUUGGGAA
rnacentral:tRNA from 1 species